CCGAAGCCUGCCUCCUUCCGAGAAGUCCCCAGUGAAGACGCCUUGCCCGGCAAAGCUCCCCUGACUCUCUGGGCCUGCCCUCACUGGUCCCCGCUCUCUGCACCACACGGAGGCCAACAGGCCACGCCAAAGUGUGCGCUGCGUAGACUGCUGAAUGAGUGAAGCAUCCAGCUCGCUUCUCACUUACAUGACAGGCUUUUGGGAACCAGCAAGUGUUUCUUCCUGGAUGCAUAUGAAGCAAUCUCCAAAUAUUUGAGGUAAGAAUGACGGGGCUAGAGUGUCUUUAUUUUAAAACUCAUGUUCUCUGUUUGCUCAUCCGUUCAACAUCGAUUUCUUCAGCCUUACCAUCUAACGGUCACUAUUCUAGGACAUGAACAACCCAGCAGUGAACAAUAACAAAGUCUCUGCCUUUGUGGGGACACUGGCCAAGGAAAUGCUGCGGGACAGGGGAGGGGGAAGGAGUGUGGGAAGAGAUGCUCAGGGGCAAGAUUGGGGAGCCCUCACUGAAGAAAGGAGAGCACAAAUCAGGGGGCCUGGGGAAAGUUUCCAGAUGCAGGAGGGGCUGCAAGGAGCCAAGCCCUGAGAUGGGAACUUGCAUGGAGUGUCCAAGGACAGCCAGGAGGCCAGGGUGGAUGGCGAGGACAGGACUGGGUGAUGUGCUCAAAAGAGGAGCAGGAAGCCAGACCGGUGGGGCCCCCAAAGCCAUUUUAAGGACUUUGUGGAUUAACUCAGAGUGUAAUGGGAAAUCAAUAGAUGAUAUCAAAUACUUUUGUCUGUUUUUCAAAACAAACCAGCUUUGUCUAACUUUGUUUACUAUUUGUUCCAAAAACACUUGUAAAAUUUUAAUUGCUGUUAGCCCACCCAUUGGAGUGCUCUGAACAGAAGAGGGUAAGAGCUGCUUUCCUGCUAUCCCAAGAUCACUCUAUCACUCUCACUGUUAACAGGUGGAGAACAGACUGCAGUGAGUGUGGGGCCAGGUGACAGCAGGAAGGACAAGAUGAUGGUGGAGGCAAACAGAAAGGACAAGGAGAAGUGGCUGAAUCUCAGACAUGCCGUAAAGCCAAUGACGAUAGAAUUUGUAGAGACGAGAUAUGGGGUUCUUUUCAAAGGUGUAUAUUAUUAUUAUUCAGCUCCUACUGACGGUCUUACCUCAAAUCACAUGCACUCGCCCUGUUUUUAUUUCUAGUUCCAAAGCAACCCAUUAAUUCUUCAUGGUCCAGCUCCCUCUUGUGGUAAGGAUCUGGUACUGUUUCAGACCUGGAGCUCUAAAACAAAAAGAACUUCAGCAAAAGGAAGAUUUAAUACAUUUCAAAGACAAACAUAAACGCUGUGCUGAAGUUUACCCCCAUCAUCAGGUGGAACUUUGAUGAACCAACUGAAGACACCACUUUCAGGACUUUUUUACGUUUCAAAUAAGCCCAAAUUUCAAAAGAGCCAAUAACACGUUUGAAGCCUACGGUAAACUAAGUUGAACAGAACUUGUUUAUUUUUCAAAACAAACCAAAGCAUUUCACAUCAUAUAGCUCUUUAAAAUCUCUAUCUGGCUAGAGCACAGUUUUCUGCAAAACAUGGGUUAUAAAUUCAUUAGUCCUGAAUUAAUCUAAUCUUGUACUUCCCUAACCUAUCACUUCUUUUUCUUUAUGAGUCAACAUGAGUGUGAGAGAGUCAUGGAUCACCAGGGGACGUUACCUUCUAGUUAACCUUAUGCACAAACUAUGCAGAACCAAAUGCAAGUAUUUAAGAUACCUUCACCAAUGAGCAGCUUCCCGAGUUUCUUCUAAUCUCUAGAAUCUAGCUCAUAGUUGGGGCAGAGGGAUAUAGUUUCUCCAAAACAAGAGAAUCUUAAGUAGCUUAAAAUAAAAAAUGGAGUCAUAUUCAAGCUCACCAUGUGAGCGGGAUAUAUACUGGGGGGAGCUCUGUUCCAUCCAUACCUACCAAAAUUGUCCCUAAAAGGAAAAUAACUUAUCCCAGUAGAAUGGAGGUAUCAGAGAAAUUUCUCAAAAUUUCUUUACAUAGUAGAGCUAUCCAAAAUUUAGCACUUGGCCUGUGUGUGUGCAUGUGUGUGUGCGUGUGUGUGCGUGUGCAUGUGUGUGUGUGUGUGUGUGUACUGGAACACCACUUAUGUAGGGAAGAUCUACAGCCCCAUGACUAUGUGAAACAGCCAGAAAUCUGAAAGCAUGUGAUUGCUGAGCAGCCAAUAGCUAUUUCAAAGUUCAUGCCCUUUGUUCUGUAGAACCUCCCUGACGCAACCACCAUGGAAUGUCAGCCUUCCAGCCUCAGAGCCUCCGACCCGUGAGAGGUGGGGGCCAGCAAGAGAGAGCAGAGGGAGUAGCAUUAGAAAAUGUGGCUGGUUUUCUCGGCACCAUGGCUCAAACACCUAUGUACUUGAACAGCCUCUGACAACAUGCUCAGCUAUUGCUUUUCCAGCUGAGCGGGCAGAGUCACCUGAGAAUUCGCUAACCGCACAGACUCUCGGACCCCAGUGGCAGAGAUCCGGCACGUGGGUUGAGUCCCUGGGCAGAACAUAGGAAGCCUGGCAUUUCUGCGUCACAGUGCAGUCUCGUCAGAGAUCUGAGAAUGAUGCUCCUGUGUAAUUAAGGAAAGAUAAAAGGCUUCUCUCCAUUCCAAAGUCUGAUCUGAUGGCCUGGCCUCCUCUCGGUGCCCAUCCAGCCAUGAUAACUGCUCAGGGACGCUGGACGUUAAACACUGAGUUGGAAGAAUCGUUCACCUGGAGACACGGCAAGAGCUGUGUGACUAGGGUCGGCCUUUUGCAGAGCCCAGAAAAAUGAAAGGUAGUGAGAAGAGCACAUUGAAUUUGAGGUCAGAAGCCUGGCACUCAAGCCCUGUGAGCUCUGUGUGUUUUAACACUGCUUCCCCUUUAUAAACGAGCCCAAUAAAAAUGGCCCCACCCAUGUGGCUUGUUUUAAGUAUAACGCAGACGACCCCACUGGCAGACACCGGAUUGGCUACCCAAAAGCCAUUCGCAAACCAUUGCUCCCUUUGCCUUCCUGUGCCUAAAAUAGUCACCUUUCAAGUAUCUCUUGCAGCUAGGGCUGACCACCUGACCAAUGGGAUGUCAGGGGAGGGUGGAGGGUCACUGAGUGGAGCCUCCGGGAAAACUGUGUUAAAAAAAAGACACUCCCCAGGCAUGCUGCCUUCAUCUCUUACUCUCCCACCCACUUUUCACACAGUGACCUAAGUGAUCUUUCAAAAUAGUAAAGCAGAUCAUGCCGUUGCCCUGCUGAAACCUGCAUGGACUUUUCACUGCAGUUAGAAUAAAAUGCAAACUAUUUGCAGUGGUCUGGCUCCCCCGCCCUUCUCCAGUGUCAUUUAGUCCGUUCUCCCGUUCACUGUAGUCCAGCCAGACCUUCUGUUCCUCAAAUUUGCCAAGCAUUUUCCCGGCCCCAGGCCUGUGCACCUGCUGAUUCUUCUGCCCAGUGCUCCCCUCCCAUUCUUUAUAUGGCGCACUGUCUCUUUCAACUAUCAGCCCUGAACUCCGGUGUGUGUUGGAGAUGCUGUCCCUGACCAUUCCGUCUCAGAAGUCCUGCCCAUUUACCCCCUAGCUCAUUACCCAAUUUGUUUCAUGGUUAUCCCUUAUUCCAAUCCACAGUUAUUUUGUGUAUUUGUCUAUUUGCUCGAUGCUUGUCUUCUAUCACUCGAAUGUAAGCAUCAGUGGGGUUUGUCAGUCUUGUUCAUUGCUAUAUCCCUAGCCCCUUGCAUGGUGCCUGAGACAUAGGAGGCUCUCAUUCGAUAUUUGCUGAACAAAUGAAUGCAUCUUCCCUGUGGAUUUCCAUCUCCUAUUUAUUACUUCUUCAUCAAAGGAAAUGAGAGGCUAAACAAGAGUUUGUAGCAGGAAUAACAAGCACUUAACACAGGAUGUGUAGGAUGGUGAGAUGAUUUUUAGGAAGUGGUAAUCAGGGGAGCCAACUUGGUAGCAACAAAACAAAACAAAAGGAAGGGAGCACUUGCGAUUGGCUUGAGCGUGGCAUGCAGUGGGAACCACCGUGUGGCCCUCAUCAGCCCGUAAUUAUCUGGAUUGCCAUGGCUAUAGACACCCUAGGGAGUCUUGAGAGAAGACAUUUGGAUGUGAAGGUGACCCAGGCAGCGAAGGUGGAAUGCCUGCUUCCCACAAAUUCCGCAUCAUAUGCCGGGGGAGGGGGUGCUCACUGUCCACUUAAGUUCCCAUUUCUCUUUACUUCCUCUCCUCACAGUCUCCUCUGUUCAAAUCAACUGCUCUGAUUCAUCCUCACAGAGUUCCCUUUACUGGAAUAGAUUUCAACCCAAGGAGAAGGCGGCAAAGAUUUCUGGGGAAAGCAGAGCUUGCAAAGUUAGACAAACCUUGCUCAAUCCCUUUCCAGCAAUACUAUUUUAGAAAAGUUACUUAGGGGCACCUG